CUCCCCCUGCUGGCUAUGCCGUCCAUGUGAUCACGAGGUCCUCGCUAUCACAUGGCCCAGGAGAGCCGGAAAGGAAGGAGGGGGACUCCCUGGGCUGCCAGGUGAGUCCCCACACCGCAAUCGCCGGCGACCGGGUAAGUAGAAAGGACGGCGAGGACGUGCUAUGCCGCCCCCUGGCAUUAAGAGCCAGGUCCCCAAGGACAGCAUAGCACGCCUGCCGUCCUUAAGGGGUUAAUAAAAAGUCAAAUUUGAAAAUUGCAAAAAAAAAUUAUAAAAAAAUGUGGGUAUAAUUUCUGCACAUACUUACAACAAGCAUCAGAGUAUGCACAGGAAGAGUUUUUGGGAGUUGUACUUCAUCUGUUAUGUUUUUACAAUAAAAGCUGAUAAGUAAACUACAAUCUCCAUGGACUCUUUUGUGCAGAAAUGUAGGGGAUAGGCUCAGGACCAUAAAACUGUAUGGGAGUGUCAUUAUUGGAUGAAACCCUAUAGAGCCAAGACAUUAAGUCAAAUGCAAUAAUAUCAAAUGUGAGUAUCUUAUUAUUUCAAUUUGAUGUUUUUGC